UACGGGGGAGCAAGCGUUGUUCGGAUUUACUGGGCGUAAAGGGCGCGGUAGGCGGCCAGCACAAGUCAGUUGUGAAAUCUCCGAGCUUAACUCGGAAAGGUCAACUGAUACUGUGCGGCUAGAGUGCGGAAGGGGCAACUGGAAUUCUUGGUGUAGCGGUGAAAUGCGUAGAUAUCGUAAGGAAGACCAGUGGCGAAGGCGGGUCUCUGGACAGUUCCUGACGCUGAGGCAC
rnacentral:rRNA from 1 species